rnacentral:rRNA from 1 species
UGGGGAAUUUUGGACAAUGGGCGAAGCCUAAUCCAGCCAUGCCGCGUGAGUGAAGAAGGCCUUCGGGUUGUAAAGCUCUUUUAGUCGGAAAGAAAGAGUUGCAAUGAAUAAUUGUGAUUUAUGACGGUACCGACAGAAAAAGCACCGGCUAACUACGUGCCAGCAGCCGCGGUAAUACGUAGGGUGCGAGCGUUAAUCGGAAUUACUGGGCGUAAAGGGUGCGCAGGCGGUCUUGCAAGUCAGAUGUGAAAGCCCCGGGCUUAACCUGGGAAUUGCGUUUGAAACUACAAGGCUAGAGUGCAGCAGAGGGGAGUGGAAUUCCAUGUGUAGCAGUGAAAUGCGUAGAGAUGUGGAAGAACACCGAUGGCGAAGGCAGCUCCCUGGGUUGACACUGACGCUUAUGCACGAAAGCGUGGGGAGCAAACA